rnacentral:tRNA from 1 species
UCCCUGGUGGUCCAGUGGUUAGGACUCAGCGCUUUCACUGCUGGGGCCCGGGUUCGAUCCCUGGUCGGGGAA